rnacentral:snoRNA from 1 species
CCUGCCUUUUCUAGAAGCACUACAGUUGUGGCUGCCAUGUCCUAAUCACGUUGGGUGGCAGAGAGGACAGAAGCUAUGUCUACAGAUGAAUAUCUAAAUGAUUAGUAGUCUAACAUU